AGGAUACUAUCUGUCCAAAAUAUAUAGCAGCGCCCGGGAUCUGCUUGUGUAUAUGACGAUAUCGAGACUCUCCGAGAAUGGCUAAGACUUCACUCAGGAUGACUGGUGGUAGUUGUUGGAGGUGGCAGUCGGAGGUUGGCCGACGGAGUUGGUGGUUUGAAUUUUGCCAGUGUGGGGGAACCGAGGUUGGUCGAUGGUGGUUGGAGUUGGUCGACCGUGAUUGCUGAGGUGACGGUUGGAGGUUAGUCGGUGACAGUCCCUGAGGUGGCGGACGGAGGUUGGUUGGUGACAAUCGUCGAGGUGGCAGCUUGAGGUUGGCUCCGGAGGGUGGUGAUCGGAGUUGGCUGGGCGACUAUCAACCAGAGUUGGCUGGAGGCGGGCGGAGGUUGACCGACGUAUUUCCUAGAUUAAAUUAGAAAAAAAAGUGGGUAACCCAUGUUUUGAAUAAUAUUUACUAUUCACACUCAUGGGAAAAUAAUGUGGGAAGCCAGACUUCCUAAAUCCAUGUCCAAAAUAAGGGUUGGGUUUAGGAUAUCUAACCAUUUGUAUACCUACAAGAUUGACAAAUUAGUAUAACCUCCCUCUAAAUCGUGGUUAA